rnacentral:sRNA from 1 species
GCCAGGCGCAGUGACACACACCUGUAAUCCCAGUGACUCUGGAGGCUGAGGUAGGAGGAUCACAAGUUCAUGGACAGAGUGGGCAAUUUAGUGAGACCCUAUCUCAA